CGGGUGAGUAACACGUGGAUGACCUACCUAUAAGACUGGGAUAACUUCGGGAAACCGGAGCUAAUACCGGAUAAUAUUUUGAACCGCAUGGUUCAAAAGUGAAAGACGGUCUUGCUGUCACUUAUAGAUGGAUCCGCGCUGCAUUAGCUAGUUGGUAAGGUAACGGCUUACCAAGGCAACGAUGCAUAGCCGACCUGAGAGGGUGAUCGGCCACACUGGAACUGAGACACGGUCCAG
rnacentral:rRNA from 1 species